CCAUCGCCGGCCUUUUGGCUAAGAUCAAGUGUAGUAUCUGUUCUUAUCAGUUUAACAUUCGAUAAGGUCCUCUAUAUGGGGAUUAAAUAUUAAAUGCAUUUUUGAGCAGUGGGAGGAAAACUGGGCUUUCACUCCUUGCAUUGACCUGGUAUUGCAGUGCUACCUAGGAACGGUGCACCAUUC